rnacentral:lncRNA from 1 species
AUGGUUAUCUGCUUUGUUAAUUAUAUAUUGUUCAAUUCGAUUUGGUUGUUCUACUGCACUUGUCCCGACUAGAGUAUUAGAAGCACUAGAACAACAUUUUAACAACUUGAAGUCUCUUUCGCCAUUACAUAGCCAAUUUAAGACCGAAUCUGUUCACCAAGGGCAAAAAAGUGGCAUGCAACAAAAGUCACGGUGGAGAUCGACAUCAAUAGAUCGUGUAGAAAAGAAACUCCCCCAAGAGUGGACUUAUUAAUACAAACAAAAGAUCGAACUAUUUAUAUUAUUUAACUUGCGAUAAAUAUGCAAGCAAUUAUUGAUG